rnacentral:rRNA from 1 species
AUGUACUUUAUGAAUAAGGAUCGGCUAACUCCGUGCCAGCAGCCGCGGUAAUACGGAGGAUCCGAGCGUUAUCCGGAUUUAUUGGGUUUAAAGGGAGCGUAGAUGGAUGUUUAAGUCAGUUGUGAAAGUUUGCGGCUCAACCGUAAAAUUGCAGUUGAUACUGGAUAUCUUGAGUGCAGUUGAGGCAGGCGGAAUUCGUGGUGUAGCGGUGAAAUGCUUAGAUAUCACGAAGAACUCCGAUUGCGAAGGCAGCUUACUAACCUGUAACUGACAUUGAUGCUCGAAAGUGUGGGUAUCAAACAGGAUUAGAUACCCUGGUAGUCCACACGGUAAACGAUGAAUACUCGCUGUAGGCGAUAUACAGUCUGCGGCCAAGCGAAAGCAUUAAGUAUUCCACCUGGGGAGUACGCCGGCAACGGUGAAACUCAAAGGAAUUGACGGGGGCCCGCACAAGCGGAGGAACAUGUGGUUUAAUUCGAUGAUACGCGAGGAACCUUACCCGGGCUUAAAUUGCAGAUGAAUUACGGUGAAAGCCGUAAGCCGCAAGGCAUCUGUGAAGGUGCUGCAUGGUUGUCGUCAGCUCGUGCCGUGAGGUGUCGGCUUAAGUGCCAUAACGAGCGCAACCCUUGUUGUCAGUUACUAACAGGUUCCGCUGAGGACUCUGACAAGACUGCCAUCGUAAGAUGUGAGGAAGGUGGGGAUGACGUCAAAUCAGCACGGCCCUUACGUCCGGGGCUACACACGUGUUACAAUGGGGGGUACAGAGGGCCGCUACCACGCGAGUGGAUGCCAAUCCCCAAAACCUCUCUCAGUUCGGACUGGAGUCUGCAACCCGACUCCACGAAGCUGGAUUCGCUAGUAAUCGCGCAUCAGCCACGGCGCGGUGAAUACGUUCCCGGGCCUUGUACACACCGCCCGUCAAGCCAUGGGAGCCGGGGGUACCUGAAGUGCGUAACCGCGAGGAGCGCCCUAGGGUAAAACUGGUGACUGGGGCUAAGUCGUAACAAGGUAGCCGUACCGGAAGGUGCGGCUG